AUUUGCUGGAGCCCGGGCACCGCGGACCGUGCAACUCGCCGCCCCGGUCCAGGGGGCCGCCCAGGCGCUGCCGAGAGCUCACCUCGGGGGCCUUCCCGCGGCACAGGCCGUGACACCGCGCCCAGCCUCCGGUCCCCAGCGGGGAUCCGGGAUCCCGUGGGAAAAGGGCAACUGUGGACCUGACCAGACCCGUGUGCAGCUGAGAAGGCCUGGUUCACAGCAAUGCCUGAAGCCUCUUGGGCUGCAGGGCCCUCCCAGAGACACUCACCAGAUGGUCUGUCCUGGGGCAGGCCAGGCCCCGACACAGGUCUGGCAGCGAGAGGGAGCCAUGCAGCUUCAGGGGCAGGUGCCGGGUCCAAGUCUCUCCUCGCCCCGGGAGCAACACUCAGCUCCAGGCUCUGUGCCAUGGAGGAGGCGGCAGGUGGCCAGCCCACAGAGUGGCAUCCAGGAGACAGCCUGAGGUUGUGAUGAAGUGGGGAUUUUCCCUGGUUUGCUGUAUGUAAUUCUUACUGUUGAGCCUAGGUGACUUUUACUGUUUUGCAUGAAUACUGUGUGUGCCUCAGUUUCCCUGUGUGCUGCACCAAUACCUCGGGGGUGGGAACAGGGGCGUGUGACUUUGGCUGAGAUCUCUGGGGCAGGUGAGGCGGCGCCAGCUGCCUGCACCUAUGCUAUGACCAGUGCCCUUCGGAACCUGAGACCCAGGUGAGGGAUGUGACCAGGUGACAUUGUGCCUGGGAAGCAAGACAAAGAGAAGGAGGAAGAGCAAUGGGGGGGUCAGAGUUCGGGUCGCUGGAAGCUGGCAGUCUGCUUGGGGAGAUGGAGGGGGGAGUCCAGGGCGUCUGGCCCAGGGUUCCCCCAAGAUGGACUUGACUGAAAGUCACUUAUUUUCUGUGCUAACAAGCUCUGCUGUACACUGUGUUCCUGUCGACGAAUAAACCUUCUGUUUCCCCGGCUGGCGGAGAGUCACGUCUGACUGCGGAGUUCGGGGGCAGGACCCUCUGGCUUCCCCAGGAGCCCUGCCUGGGCGGACUCGCUGCGGGAAGCGCAUGGGGAGGAAGGGGAUGCUGAAUACUCCGAGGUCAGACCCAGGAAGGUCGAAGCUGUGGAAGCUUCUUGCCCUGGUGACAAUAUGCACACAGAGAGGAGGCUCCCCCAGAGUCCUGCCUGGCUUCAUACGGCGCAGUUCCAGAGCAUCGCCCGGGGACUCCGUGACACCUGGUGGUAGAGGUGGGAUAAACUGCACCCUGUGGACAGAGCAUCCUGCAGUGACACAGGGCCAGAAAGAGUUAAUGACCUCCCAGACUGACCUGACCCAGGGCCCAACUUUAGAGACUGCUUAGGAAGAGAUGGAAAGGAGGAGAGCUGUGAACUGCAGCCCGCACUGCUAGAGAGAGAAGGGGAGAUGCUGGCUCAGGGCUUGUGAUGUCAGCAAACGAGUCUUGUCUAUUGCCACGGCUUUGAUUCAAAGAUCAAAACAGGAGUGUGAAGAUCUAGGAAGACACUGGAGGGCAACAGUGUUGUUGUCUCUCUGUCUCCGGGAAGGUUGGGGUAACCUGUAUCUGAACCGUUUAAUGAUAAAUUACCCUGGGCUAAUUGCCAGGAUGUUUGGGAGAAGGAAGGUUGAGCCUAUUGUCUUCUCAGGCCAAGAGGCUGCUGGAAAUGUAUAAAAGCCCUGGGACACGAUCCUCCUUCAUCUCAGAUCGGCUUUGGGUUUCAAGAAGGGGAAACCCUGAGCCAUAAGGAUUGAGAUCCCCAGUCACUGACUGGAGUCACCCUGAACAUGGACAUUGGACUGUAACCUCUGGGCUGUUUCUAAAAGGACGUUUGGCCACUACAGACUCACCAUCUCUGCUCGGUAUCGUGACCUCAAGAACUGAACU